UCAAUGUCAAACACAAGAUUAUGUUUUCCAAGGCACAGUAGAAGGAGAACUUGCACUUGAAGGAGAUAGCUGUUAUUCAAGGAAGUAUCUGCAUUCUAAACAGGGUUCCUCUUCAUGCAGCACGUAUCGGUAAUUAAACCAACUAUAUUCAGUGGUCAUGGACUUCCCCAAGAACAAAAAGGGAAAUAAGGGACUGCAAGAAUAAGGAGCAAGAGGGAGCAGAAUUUAUGAAAUACUUGUGAAAUUGGCAAAGUGGGAAAAAAGGCAAUUACAUUAAUUACCAGAGUGAGUAGCUAUGAUUUAGGUGCACAGCAGCUACUUAUAAAAAAGAGCAGCAUUCUUAAAGUUGCUUAGAGCAAAGAGGCAUUUGCUCAGAAAGGAUGAAGAAUUCUUACCAUCAUACAAUUUUCAUUCAGCAUUACACAAAAAUACUGGUGGCUGCCUUCACAAAGUCAAGCUGUGAAACUAAACUUUGCCAUGCAGCACUUACUUGUAC